UACGUAGGGGCAAGCGUUAUACGGAUUUACUGGGUGUAAAGGGAGCGCAGACGGCAGUGCAAGUCUGAUGUGAAAGCCCGGGGCUCAACCCCGGAACUGCAUUGGAAACUGUACAGCUUGAGUGUCGGAGAGGUAAGCGGAAUUCCUAGUGUAGCGGUGAAAUGCGUAGAUAUUAGGAGGAACACCGGUGGCGAAGGCGGCUUACUGGACGAUAACUGACGUUGAGGCUCGAAAGCGUGGGGAGCAAACAGGAUUAGAUACCCCCGUAGUCCCUGA
rnacentral:rRNA from 1 species